AUUGGUGAGCCGGACGUGAUUCGAACACGCAACCUUCUGAUCUGGAGUCAGAAGCCACACCAACACAGCACAUCAACAA